UGCGUGUUGUGAUGGCUCCCUCUGAUGGCAGUCGCUGGAUGCUUCAUCCACGUGUAGUGGUUUUCUUUCCUCUGCACACCUCUCAGUACAUACUCCAGCUGGGACAAUCUUUUCAGAUGAACACCCUGUUUUUAUCCCAGUCUGAUAAAUUUUUCUUGAAAAGAGGUCAAACAGGAAAGCAAACCUUCCUCUGCCUGUCUCAGUGCAAUCAUGAAGAUCACGCAAGAUAGUCCCUGUUGGAGUGUGUGUGCUUCAGCAGUGCAGAGCAUUCAAAGGUUUGAGGUGAAGGCCAAAAUAGAAAUUGCCAUCAAGCUCCAGAUGAUCCUCAGUGAGGGAUACCGCUCUCUCAGUAUUCAAGAGUCACCCUUCCACAGAGAAGCCCUAGACUGCCCAUCAGUGGAAUAUGAGAGAGAGCCAGAGCCUUCAGACCAAGACAAUCGAACAUCCCUGGAUAUCUGAGAUAGCCAGCCUUUCUUCUGGAGAGCUUCCCAGGUAACCAGCAUCCGAAACCCCAGCUGCUGUCUCCAUGGUGAUCAGGAUACCCCCUGUGAUGAAGUCUUGCUCUGUCGCCCAGACUAGAUUGCAGUGAUGUG
rnacentral:lncRNA from 1 species